rnacentral:lncRNA from 1 species
CUGAUUUCGGUAAGUGAGAAGAAAUUUAUUCCUUUUAAUGGUUCUCUCUCCCGUUCCUCCACCUCCUCACCUAAACAGACUCCUCAGUUCCUCCGCCUCCUCCCCUCCCGUUCCUCAGUCCUAUCUGCCGCCUCCAUUCCUCAGUCCCGUCCGCCUCCUCUCUCCCGUCCUGGCCGCCUCCUCUCUCCGACAUCCUUUGCACUGCUCCACCAAGAUCCGCUCCGCUCCCCAUCCACAAAUCCCUUCCAAAUCCCUUCCCCAAGUUCCGCACCGCCUGGGCCAAGGAUGACGUACCUGCGCGAUGCUAGGGGUCGGUUUGCCCAGGCCAAGAAGGUCUGCAAGGUGGGGACGCCGUUGGAGCCCCUCACCGCGGGAGGAGGGGGCCGCCGUGGCGAGGGUUCUUCCUCACAUCGUCCCCAUUUGGACAACGGCGUGAAGAGGCGGCCGACCACGCGGUCAGUAGGAUGGUAUUGUUCUUACUUUUUAUAUGUUUUUAUUAUCUAUGUAUGCACCAAUCAUGACUAGACCUUAACUGUUAGUCUGUAAGUGAGAAGAAAUUGGAUAAUAGCAUGAUUUCAACUAUAUGGUUACUAGCAAUAAGCUAAAAUAAACUCUCUUAGAUAGUGGGUCUGGGGGCAAAUACUAGCGCUUGUAGUGCUCGAUUAGUGUGCUUUAGGUUUUUGUUCAGACAUGAGGACUGAUGUGCUAGUAAACUACUUGUUAAAGUUUUGAUGGGUGCUAUGUGCCUGUUGAACUAAUUAUAAUUAAAUGAUUGAAGUAUUCUAGCAUGCAUUGUCUGGUGCAUAUCCUGCUUUUGUUGAUGCCCUCUUGAGUUAUUGUAUUGCCAGGUCCAUUUCUUUCUUCAUGUAUGAGCUUGGUACUAAUUAAUGAUGACUUGUAUGUGGGAUAUCAAAACUGGAAUGUGAUGAGAACUACUGUUGGUUCAUGUAUCUAUAUCUUUGUAUUUGCGGGAACAAUAGGUGUUACACAGAGUCGGUGGUGUUUGGUUGCAAAGCAACCCUGGUACUGGGCAGCUCUAUCCAACCCCAGGCGCUCAAAGUCGAUGAUGUUUGGGGUUCUUGUGUGCUGAUCUUGGCUAAUAAAUAUUGAAAAAUUGCUAACAGAGUUGAAAAUAGACAAUGGUAGCUUGAAAAUCUGUCUGCGAAGUAUAUAUUUGUUCUAGGAAGUAUUUACGUUUUGUGAUAAUAUAUGAUCCCUAAUUCCAUAUAACCAUGUUAGUGGCGGAGGCACUUGAAACCUCACAUGCCUGUCUGAAACAACCUAUAUGCAGCUUGUCCUUUCUCACUAUAGUAGAAUAAUUUUACUGAUUGUGGAUUUGGAAAAUCCACACGUUAGGGAUUCAGGGAGUUGAAACUUAACAUAGUUAUCUGUUGUCUCAAACAACUUAUAUGCAAUUCUUCCUUUGGCAUUGUACUAGAAUUCCUUCACUUAUCACGAGUUUGAAAAUUACAUAUCAAAACCUGAGUGCUCUUAUAUCAUCAUGUUGCAUAUUGUUAGAUGCCUAGAGUUCAGUGAUAUUGGUAUUGAGCCAAAUAUCAUCGCAUUUGGUGGAAUUGUGUGAAUCAGUGAGAGUUUAGGCUGUAAGCACGUAUGUCUACACUACUUCUCCUAGUUGCAGUCUAUAUAUUUUACCUGUGUCUCUGAAAGCCAUGUUGAUAAAUCUCCUCCAGAUCUGAAUAAGAUGCCUCAGCUCCUAGUUAAGUAGAAACUCCUAAUUUGAUUGCAAAGAGUUAGCGAAAUUGAUUUUGUGAUAUAUUUUCCAUUACUAUUUAUAUUCCCUUGCAUUUUGGUUUUUCCAAUCAAGUAGAGAUAACAUGUUGAAGCUAUUACUAUUUCUUAUAGCACAUUCUUAUUUAUCUGGAGCUAUUUCUCUGUCUAUGGAUGUGUACAUGAGUUUGCUUUUCAUUUCAAAGCCAAGAUUUGUUCUUCUCUUAUUAGGUUUAAUAUAUGCCAGAUUUGGUGUGUGAAUUUUCUAGUUCGGCUAUUGGUAUGAUCUAUCUUGUCCAUCCAAGUCUCCCUGUCCACCUAUCCAAAUUAAUGAGUUCAUGUGCUGCUAGUCUUGAAACUUGACCUGAGUUAUUGUUUAAUGUAUUGCGGACUGAUUUGGAGUAGUUGAUACAAAUUUUCAAGAACUACAGGAAUCAGGAAAAUGAAAAGUACGAACAAGCAGUGUAGCAGCGAGAUGACAUGGCCAAGAAGCUUGAAAAAGUUAAACGGAAGGCAAAAAAGUUAAUUGAAGCAUUUAAGAAGCUAGACAAGAAGUAGGUUAAGAAGUUGGUUGACAGACUGUUAGUUUGGUCUGUACAUAAAUUAGAUAAUCCAUGCUGGAAUCUCUAGUGCUACUAGUAGCUGAACCUCUAGUGCUAUGAUCCCCAUCUAUCAUGGUCUUUUGGACUAGCCGUGUGCAUGGUGGAAUACCAGGAUAGGUCACAUUUUGUGCAAUCUGUUUGCCAUGGCCUUCAUGUUAGGAUUGCCAAGGAAGUCCAGGAGAAGAAAAUGUGGGUGUUUAUCCUCUGCCUGGUUGGACUGCUUGUUUGUCAAUGCUUUUGUAAUGGCUAAAGUGGAACAGAUGCUUUUGUAAUGCAAGAAGUGCUAGAUCAACUGUUGCUCAUGAUGUACUGUUCUUGUAAGAUGAUCUAUUGGUCUAGCUGACUUAAUCAUUUAGAAUGAUAAAUUAUUGUUUGAAUGUGCUUGUUGUUUCCACAAAAGGGCUUCACUUGACUGGUACCUUGCCAAAUUUGUUUCUAUUUUUUAUAUGUGAAUGUGGAUUUUAGUUUUUGCCAGGACUAUUUUUUAUCAUGUGAAUAUAUAG